GACGAACGCUGGCGGCGUGCCUAAUACAUGCAAGUCGAACGCAGUGGGGACGGGUGAGUAACACGUGGGUAACCUCCCCAUAGGAGGGGAUACCACUUGGAAACAGGUGCUAAACCGAUACGGAGGGAGGGACCCCCGGUGCAUUAGCUCGUUGGUGAGGUAACGGCUCACAAAGCCCACGAUGCAUAGCCGACCUGAGAGGGUGAUCGGCCACACUGGGACUGAGACACGGCCCAGACUCCUACGGGAGGCAGCAGUAGGGAAUCUUCGGCAAUGGACGAAAGUCUGACCGAGCAACGCCGCGUGAGUGAAGAAGGUUUUCGGAUCGUAAAACUCUGUUGUUAGAGAAGCGGUAUCUAACCAGAAAGCCACGGCUAACUACGUGCCAGCAGCCGCGGUAAUAC
rnacentral:rRNA from 1 species